UGUAAAUGAAGUUAAAGAUGUAGUUGAAGGUGCCUUCGAUGAUGAUGACUUAACACCAACAAUAACACUGAUGCA
rnacentral:snoRNA from 1 species